UUUCCUAAGGCCACUUGCCAAAGAGACUGUCUUUUCCCCAUUGUAUAUGCUUGCCACUUUAGUGGAAGAUUAAUUGACCAUAAGUGUGCAAAUUUAUUUCUGGGCUUUCUAUUCUGUCCCAUUGAACUAUAUGUCUGUUUUAGUGCCAAUAACAUCCUCCUUUUCAAAUGAUAUGUCAAUUAUAUUUUGGUUUACUGAUUGAAUGCAAUUUGGGAACAUUUAUCUUUAAUGUGGGUAGCAGGUUUCUUAUGACAAACUGCUAUAGAAAGAGUUUUUGACAAGAGUGGUACUUUUACUGUAGGGUUUUCAUCACAUUUUAAGUUCCUGUCUCAUUAAUGUAAGCUUGCUUGUCUUUUAUUCUGCAAAGCUAAGUUUAAUGCAAUAUCAGUGAUCGGUAAGGCUUAUCUCAGAGGAAAUACUACACUAACUUCAGUCAUGAUUUAAUUCCUUAUAUUAAUUCCUGUCACACAAAUGGCUCGGAGAGGUAAAACAAUCUUCUCUCUCAUGGGUUACAUGACCUUUGGGAGCCUUUGCAUCUAGUUCUUAGCAAGGUGGGUUUAGUUUUAACAAAAGAAUUAACAAUAUGGGGAAGUCAAAUUAUUGUCCUUCUCUCUUCCUAACAUUGUGCCUUCUUUAUGUUUGAAUAAUUUAAUUUUUAUUUUUUCAGAUAAAUAUGAAGAGGAAAAAGAAGAUCUUCAGCACAAAUUUGAUGACCUUCAGAAAAAGUGGGGUAAAUUUCCCUGACAAUCUUUCUGCUUCAGUAACCUUCUAGAUGGUCACUUUCUCAGUGCCUAUACUUUCCAGUCUCUUAAACUAUAUACCAGCUGUUGAUCCCCCUACUAUGGGAUGUUGACCCAUCCUUAUCCAAUUAGUUUAUAAAAUCAAUCAUAUGGAGUUCUCACUUAUUCUCUUUCCUUGCCCUUAAACAUUGCCCAAUUCUACUUUUUUUUUUCAUUUAACAUAUUGUCUUUAUACAAACAUUGUUUCCAACAAUCAUUAGAGCCUUACGAGAAUUUCAUUAUGAAUUUUUUGAUGUGAAAGGGAUGACAUUGAUGAGAACUUACUUUACAUCAUAUAAUUUGUUUUCUGGAAAAUGGCUACUAUGUUACUACUUAUCUCAUGUAUUUCUAGUUCAGGGACAUUACUACUAUACAGUCGAUACCUCCAAAACCUUAUGAAAUGAGCUAAGUCUACAAACUUGCUAAGUGACACACCUCCAUCCAUUCUUCUCUCAAACUGUGUAAACGCAAAUGUAACUCUUGGAAUACUUUGGGCUUGAGACUCCCUUUCACCUGUUCAGAUUAUUUGCUCACAUAUUCUAUAGGCAUACAUAUAUUUUAAAUACUACUUUCCAAGUUUAAAUUAUUUCAUACUGUAGUAAUUGUGAUGUAAUUUCAUUACUUUAUUUGGACAUGAUGGGGAAAAUUGAAAUACCUUAAGUAUUUAUAGGACUUUAUAUAUUAAGGGGAUUUCAUUUAUAACAUACUAGUCUAUUUUGAAAUUUUGUGUGAAUGGCCUGAGAGGCUAAGUCUUAGAAUAUUCCUAAGAGAUGGUUAAUAACUCACUGCUAAAGCCAAUAAACGUUUAACAUCCUUCUUUCAUUAAUGAUAUUUACAAUUAUAUUUUUGUUAAAGACUGAAUGGAAUUAAGGAAUAUAUCUCUUUCACACAUAGACCAGGAUUCAUACAAGUACUGCUAAAGAUAUAGAUUUAGAUGGAAGAGUACUUUCAUUGUAGCUUCCUUAUGACCUGAAUAUGGGCAGAACUGCAUUCUAUUCUUAAAAACAAAAAGAGGGGCCAAAGAAAGAUGAAAGACUGUUACAGUUUAUCUCAGAGAUGUCUUAUUCUAAUUCCUCUCUUUGUAUUAUCUCCCAUCUAUGUUCAUUUUGCACCAAAAUUUCCAUGGGAAAAAAAUACAUUACCUAUAAUUGGCAAGAUGUCUUUUGGAAAUUGGUGCCUUUAGAUCUAAAAAUACUGGUCAUUUUGAACCAUGGGCUAUUCUUUUGCUUUAUACUUCAUUAAGUCCUUAAAAUUUUCCUCCUUUUCUGAUGACAUUUUUCAAUUAUGAUUUUGCUUUCAAAGGGAAUGCUUUUAGGAUUAUAUUUAUUUGAUAUAUGUAGCAGGAUUUCUCUGACUACCGUAACAUGUCAUUUGGACAGAGAAGUAAUUGUGCUCUUUAUUUCUUCACCUCAUUUUAGGUAAGUCUCUUAAGUAUGAUUGUGGGUGUGCAGUUGAUUCUGAGAAGCAAAAGUCUCAGUGAAACACCAGGGACAGAUGCUGUUUUCCAAGAGGAAUUCCUAUGCUACCACCUCCCAUGGUGUCAUAUACCUUCUGAUUCCAUUUUGAACCAGUAGGAAAAUGGAAAUCAAUAAAACUUUCACUGAUUGGUGAUAUGACCUCCAGAUGACAUGGAGUCAAUACUCAGAAAUAUGAGUCAGGUUGAGCCAAAUAGUAAAAUAUAGAAGAGUUUGAAAUUUUGGCCCUUGUUCCUUCUUCACAUCAGAACCUCAACUGGAAUGAAUUUUCAGUUCUUUUUCCUGUUAAUUUAUAUGAAAUACGAAGAGGAAAAUGUCAGUCUUAUCCUUUUAUCAUAUCUUUAUCUUCAGGUCUCUAUGACCAUCUUCCUCAAAUCCAACAUUUGCAUAUUUUUACAUAGUCUGUCUCAUUAUCCAAUCUUUCCAACUGAAAUUCAUCAUCUUUAUUUUUCACUCAGUUUCUUCCAUCAUAAUUUCUUGGCUUUGUCCUGUCCAUUCAACUGGCACAAACAGACACUUUCUGCCAUAUAAAUUUUAUUAAUCAUAUACUUUUGAAGUGAUGGAAUGUUCAAGGACUGGUGUGAAAGUUUUGUCCAACAUGUGCCCUGAAUAUGUGAUUUCAACUCCCUCAUUACUUGUGUUCAUUGCUUCAUUUGUUGUUUCACAUGAUCUAAUUAAGAUGAGCAUCUUUUCAACAUGAAUUGUAAUAAAAAUUCACAAAAUAUAAGGUUGUGUUGUGACACCUAUUGACAAAAAUGUUGUAAAUCAUUAUCCAGGAAUUAAAAUCCUGUGGUUUCUUGAGGAGGAGUGGUUCAGGAUACUCUGAGUCAGUGUUUGUGGUGAUUUUAUAUAAUGGAGCUACACCAAAAUGAGAGUUAGCAGCAUAUAUUUAAUAGCAGCCAAUAAACCUAUUAGAGCAAGCAUACUGAAUAAUUAAAACCUUAAUUAUGCCAGAUGACACUAUGAGCAUGUGGAAAAGUUAACUACCAAAAAUACUAUUCCAAAAAGUCUUAUCCAUUCAGAAAAUUCUCUUUGUUCAUUUUUAUUUCUUUCUUUUUUGUAGCACAUAAUCUGGAUAGAAUGGAGAAGCUUUCAGCUACUGUGGAUGAUAUUUGUGGAAAACUUGGUAAGAUCCUCUGAGAAAUCUUUGCUCCUUUAACUCUUUAAGGACUACAUCUUUGGUGUCUGUAACAGUCCCCACCCUUUCUUCUCUGUGCCCUCCAUUAGCUCUCCUUCUCAUGAAUGUUCACUCUUAAAUUUGAACUUCUCUCUUAAUUUCCUCCCAUCGUUGUUCCUUUUUUGCCCACCAUUUCAUCUUUUUGUUGUUGUUGUUCUCAUAUCCUAUACCUUUUCUUUCCUAUAACAAUGGGUUUGUCUGUCUUCCAGAGACUUUCUGUAAUGCAUUAUGAAUUUUUUGAGAUGAAAGCAAUGAGAUUAACAGGUCCAUGAUUUUCACUCUCUCUUUUUGGGGCUGGUCUAUAUAGGAUCUUUUCAUUUAUCCAAGUUGAAGAAGCCAUUACUGUGCUACUGUGGUGGUCUUAUCUCAGAGAAAGUCCUAUGCUAACAUUAGUCCUGAUUCCAUUCCCUAUAUUAAUUCCUUUUGUACAAAUGGCUGGGCAGAGAUAAAACAAUCUUCCCUCUCAUGGGUUGCAUGUACUUUGGAAGUUUGGUUACAGUUCUUAGAAAGGUGCAUUCAGUUUUAACAAAAGAAUAAGCAAUGUGAGGAAUUCAAAUUAUUAUCCUCCUUCUUCCUAACACUGUGCCUUCAUUAUGUUUCAAUAACUUUAUAUUAUUUUUUUCAGAUAAGUGUGAACAUGACAAAGGCAAGUCCUAUUAUUAUAUUAUACUCUGUGCCUACUCAAGUUUCAUGUGUUUCAUUGACAUUGGUUUUCAGUUCUCCAUGAUCACCUCCUUCAACUCCAAUGUACGUAGACCUUUACAUCACUUUUUUGUCAUGCAGUUUUUGCUUUUUCGUGAUGUCUGUAAUUCUUAGAUGUUACUCAGUUUCCUCAUUACUUUUUCUUUGGUUUGUCCUGUCCUUUCCAUUUAUGCACAUAUAUGUUACCUUCUUCAAGGAGUAUUAGGAGUAAUCUUUUAGCAAGGUUUAGUCAUUUUAAAAUUUUCUGAUUUGAAAGUUUUUCCAAGAUGAAAGUGAAAGUGAAGUUGCUCGGUCGUGUCCGACUCUUUGUGACCCCAGGGACUGUAGCCUACCAGGUUCCUCCAUCCAUGGGAUUUUCCAGGCAAGAAUACUGGAGUGGGUUGCCAUUUCCUUCCCCAGGGGACCUUCCUGACCCAGGGAUCGAACCCAGGUCUCCCGCAUUGCAGGCAGACGCUUUUACCCUCUGAGCCACGAGGGAAGCCCAUAGUUUGCAUCAUUUAAUUUAAAAUUCCUUCCUUGACAUUGAUACUUCAUUUGCCUGAUACACAUGAACUUACAAAACAGAAAGAGAUUCACAGACUUGGAGAACAAACCUAUGGUUGAUGGUGGGAGGAAAGUGGAGAAGGGGUAGUUGGGGAGUUUAGGAUGGAUAUGUAUACACUGCUAUGUUUAAAAUGGAUAGCCAACAAGGACCUACUGUAUAGCUAUACAGUAUGGAACUCUACUUAAUGUUAUGUGGCAGCCUGGAUGGGAGAGGAGUUUGGGGGAGAAUUAAAACAUGGCAUGUAUGGCUGUGCGUCUUUGCUGUUCAUCUGAAGCUGUCACAACAUUGUCAAUCAGCUGCUGUUGCUGCUGCUGCUGCUGCUAAGUGGCUUCAGUCACGUUCAACUCUGUGUGACCCUAUGGACAGCAGCCCACCAGGCUCCUCUGUCCACGGGAUUCUCCAGGCAUCAGCUAUACCUCAAUAUAAAACAAAAAGUUUAAAAGUAAAAACAAACAAACAAAAAAAAACUUUAUUUUCCUUUCUUUCAUGUGACCUUAUUGAGACAUGAGUUAAAACCAUAUUCACAUAAAAUACAGUUAUAUAUGUUUCAGUUGAGGGAAAUGGUGAUAGAGGCCCCCUUGACCCUCACCCUGCACAUUCUCUAGGAACUCAGCACUCUGUAUAUACAUCAGUGUUUGUGGAUUAUACAUAGUUUCCCCAACAGAAGUGACCAUAUAAGCAGCAGUCAGAGGACUCUCUAGAGAUGAAAAACUGAGCAACAAAAUUCUAAAUAAGAACAAAAGGAAUCUGGAAAAAUUGUAUUAGUAGUUAUCAGAAUCUCUGUUUUUAAAAAUGUGUCCUUGAUUCAGAAAAUGUAUUCAUCUCCACCUUUGUGUUUCAUUAAAUACUCGUUUCUUCAAUAAUGCACUUUAAACCAAAUUUAUUCACAUUGUCUGUGUAUUUGUGUGUUUUUGUGAGUGUGUAUGUGUCUUCCUGGUGUGAGUUCUUGCAUUUAUGUGUGUGUGUCUGUAUCCUAAAUGCUUUAAUUUUAAAUACAUGCUUUUUAAUAAAUUUAAUUUUUCUUCCUGUGUUUUCCCCAUGAGAUUUACACUGAUUUUUCCUUUUUAUUUUACAGAAGAACUUCAGCACAAAUUUGGUAACAUAUCUCUGACAUCUCUUUAUACCCAAAACACUUGAAAAUACAUUCCUGAUGUUUUUAACAUUUCCCUUCAUUCUUCUGAUAUGUCAUUCACUGUCUUACUCUUUUCCUGGCUGAUUACUAUCCUAACUUGAAUUUUUUAAUAUAAUUUUAUUUAUUUUAAUUGGAGGCUAAUUACUUUACAUUUGAAAGAAUAAGGAAGAGAGAAAGUAGGGGAAAGCCAUUACUUUCUUUCUUCCUUGUUCUUUCAAAUUUUCUCAGGUAUAAUGUGUUUGACAUAAUUUUUUGGAAUUUUAAAAAUUUCCAAUUGAAUUUAUAUUUUGUCUUUUAAUUAACACAGUUGCUAAUUUAAGAGACUGCAAUUCCUUUUACUGAUGUGUAGGAGUAUUUUCUAUCUUAUGGAAAACCCAAUGUCUCUACAUCUCUCAGUUCUGAAUUUUUAGGCAGAAAGAACCAGAAACUAUUGUCUGCAAUGUUUCCUAAAGCUUUUUUCAUAAAACACUAAUAUAUCCAUUUAAUGAUUAAUAUCCUCUUUUUAAAUGAAUUUUUUGAAUCAUAUUUUUGCUUUUAGAGGGAAUAGAAUUUAGAGAUAUAUCUCUUUAAUAUAGGGAGUUCAGUUCAGUGGCUCGGUCGUGUCUGACUCUUUGCGAUGCCAUGAAUCACAGCUCGCCAGGCCUCCCUAUCCAUCACCAACUCCCGGAGUUCAUUCAAACUCAUGUCCAUCGAGUUGGUGAUGCCGUCCAGCCAUCUCAUCCUCUGUUGUCCCCUUCUCCUCCUGCCCCCAAUCCCUCCCAGCAUCAGGGUCUUUUCCAAUGAGUCAACUCUUCGCAUGAGGUGGCCUAAUCAGCUUUAACAUCAGUCCUUCCAAUGAGCACCCAGGACUGAUCUCCUUUAGAAUGGACUUUAGAAUUGGACAGGGAGUAGCCUUCAUGUAAGGGCUGCUACAGCUAGUGUUUUGCACAAAGGAGUGCUGUUUUAUUUGGUUUUUCAUCUCUUUUAAGCUAACUCUUGCCCGUAAUGAGUCUGGGUUUUCAUAUUAUUCUGAAAAGAUGAUCAAAUAAGAUGUACUUCAUUUUGAGAUAGGUUAAAAUAGAAACUUGCCAAAAACAGAUCAUAAAUCAUGUUUCAUGAAAAUGUUUAUACAGGUGUCUGAGAAACAAUCCCUGAAUUUUCUCUCAAGGUGUGGGUUCAUUAUUCUCUAUUUCACUGCUUGGGAAUACUUUAUACAGCAUAGCUGCAACAUGAAGGGAAUUGAUUAUUUCUUUUUCCUAGCAGCCAAAGAACUUAUUAAAGGCAACCAACAGAAUACUAGCAUCUAAUGUAAUGUCCACAUAGAUGAAGAAUAACUUUAAAAGAUCAUGGACAAAACUAAUAGUCCUGAAAUUCUUGCACAGGCAAUGUUUAUUUCUUUUACUCCUAUUAAAUUUUUGUUUAAUUUUGUGAGCUUUCAGACACUAUUAUUAAUCGUAUAAGUGCAUAUGUCUGCACACAUGUGUGGGGAUGUGUAUGUUUGUCUGCAUUUUGGUAUCUUCACCAUUGCAUGUGAAUUUUUCACUACUUUUAAAUCCCCCCACCCUUUUCUGUGCCGUAAUAUUAACAUGGAUCUUUCCUUUUUAUUUUUCAGGUGACCUUCAGAAAAUAUGUGGUAAAUUUCUCUGACAACCUUUUUACCAAAAUAACCCUCUAAAUGAAUCCUUUCUCAAUGCCUUUAAUAUUCCCUUUCUUUUUAUCUCUAUGGCAGUGUUGACCCCCUUUUCCCAGAUGCUGAUCCUUCCCAGUCUAUUAUUUGUUCAUAAAAUCACCCAUAUAAAUUUCUCACUUUUUCUUUUUCCCUACCUUUACAUCUUGCCCAAUUCUUUUUCUUUUUUCAUUUCACAUAAUUAUACAUUAUAUACAUUAUCUUCUUUCAUCCAGACUGUGGUCAGUUAUAUUAUAAAUUUGGCGGGGUACAGUCCAUGGGGUCACAAAAGAGUUGGACAUGACUGAGCGACAGAGCACAAUGUAGUUUUGUCUCAAAAUGAAAAUUGACAAUAUAUAUUUAGUAGCAGCCGAUGAACCUAUUAGAGAAACCAUACUGAAUCAGUAAAUCCUAAAUCAUGUCAAAUGGUUUAAUGAACAUGUGGAAAAGUUAACUACUAGAAAUAUUACUCCUAAGAAUUUUUAUCCAUUCCGCAAAUUCACUUAGUUUUUGCUUUUUCUUUCAUUUUUAGUAGGAAAUAUCCUGGAGAUAAGGGAGCAGCUUUCGGCCACUGUUGGUGCGUUUAUUUUUUGUGCCUGAUGUUUUUUGUGUGUCUGUGUGUUUGUGUGUAUGCUUUUGUCUGCAUCCCAAUACUUCAAACAUUGCAUUCAGAUUUUUCAAAAAAUUUGAUUUUUCUUCAUGUGUGUUUCCAUGGUAUUUAUAUGACUUUUUCCUUUUUCAGGUGAUAUUUGGGGAAAAUUUGAAGAAUAUCAGCACAAAUUUGAAUACUCUCUGAGUAAGAAGGAGCAGUCCUCAUCUAUUCUUGAAGAACUUCAACACCAAUUUGAAGAACUUCAACACCAAUUUGAUAAGAGUAAACAAGAAAAAGGCAAGUCCAAUUAAGCUAUUUCAUUGUAUACCUAGCCAUGUUUCAUCUGUUUCUUCUACCUUUGUCUUCAGUGUUCAAUGAUUAUACUCCUCAGUUCCAACAG
ensembl:lncRNA